AUUGAACGCUGGCGGCAGGCCUAACACAUGCAAGUCGAGCGGAUGAAGGGAGCUUGCUCCUGGAUUCAGCGGCGGACGGGUGAGUAAUGCCUAGGAAUCUGCCUGGUAGUGGGGGACAACGUUUCGAAAGGAACGCUAAUACCGCAUACGUCCUACGGGAGAAAGCAGGGGACCUUCGGGCCUUGCGCUAUCAGAUGAGCCUAGGUCGGAUUAGCUAGUUGGUGAGGUAAUGGCUCACCAAGGCGACGAUCCGUAACUGGUCUGAGAGGAUGAUCAGUAACACUGGAACUGAGACACGGUCCAGACGCCUACGGGAGGCAGCAGUGGGGAAUAUUGGAAAAUGGGCGAAAGCCUGAUCCAGCCAUGCCGCGUGUGUGAAGAAGGUCUUCGGAUUGUAAAGCACUUUAAGUUGGGAGGAAGGGUUGUAGAUUAAUACCCUUGAUGAGUGGACGUUACUCGCAGAAUAAGCACCGGCUAACUCUGUGCCAGCCGCCGCCGUAAAAC
rnacentral:rRNA from 1 species